UGGGCCGACACUGACACUGAGAGACGAAAGCUAGGGGAGAAAAUGGGAUUAGAUACCCCAGUAGUCCUAGCCGUAAACGAUGGAUACUAAGUGUUGUGAAUAUCGACCUAUGCAGUGCUGUAGCUAGCGCAUUAAGUAUCCCGCCUAGGGAGUACCUUCGCAAGAAUGAAACUCAAAGGAAUUGACGGGGGCCCUCACAAGUGGUGGAGCAUGUGGUUCAAUUCGAUGCAAAGCGAAGAACCUUACCAGGGCUUGACAUGCCAUGAAUCCUCCCGAAAGAGAGGAGUGCCUUUGGGAACAUGGACACAGGUGGUGCAUGGCUAUCGUCAGCUCAUGCCGUAAGGUUUUGGGUUAAGUCCCACAACGAGCGCAACCCUCGUGUUUAAUUUCCGACAUUGAGUUUGGAACCCUGAACAGAAUGUCGGUGAUAAGCCAGAGGAAGGUGAGGAUGACGUCAAGUCAUCAUGCCCCUUACGCCCUGGGUGACACAUGUGCUACAAUGACCGGCAAAAAGGGUCGCGACCCCACAAGGGAAAGCUAACCUCAAAAACUCGGCCUCAGUUCAGAUUGUAGGCUGCAACUCGCCUACAUGAAGCCAGAAUUGCUAGUAAUCGUCGGUCAUCCAUACGAUGGUGAAUCCGUUCCCGGGCCUUGUACACACCACCUGUCACACUAUGGGAGCUGGCCAUGCCCCAAGUCAUUACCUUAACCACAAGGAGGGGUAUGCCAAAGGAUGGGCUAGUGACUGAAGUGAAGUCGUAACAAGGUAGCCGUAUUGGAAGGUGCGGCUGGAUCACCUCCUUU
rnacentral:ncRNA from 1 species